UAGUUACUCCCUCCGUCCGGAAAUACUUGUCAUUGAAAUGGAUGUAUCUAGAUGUAUUUUAGUUUUAGAUACAUCUAUUUUCAUCCAUUUUGAUGACAAGUAAUUCUGGACGGAGGGAGUACAUC
rnacentral:pre_miRNA from 1 species